rnacentral:rRNA from 1 species
UACAGAGGAGCCAAGCGUUGUCCGGAUUGACUGGGCGUAAAGCGCACGCAGGCGGCACCGCGCGUGGGGUGUGAAAUCUGGCCGCUUAACGGCCAGGCGCCAUCCCAUACGGCGGAGCUGGAGUGAUGCAGAGGUCGGUGGAAUUGCCGGUGUAGUGGUGAAAUGCGUAGAUAUCGUAAGGAAGACCAGUGGCGAAGGCGGGUCUCUGGACAGUUCCUGACGCUGAGGCACGAAGGUCAGGGGGAGCAAACGGG